CUACGGGUCGCAGCAGUGAGGAAUAUUGCACAAUGGGGGGAACCCUGAUGCAGCAACGCCGCGUGGAGGAUGACGCAUUUCGGUGUGUAAACUCCUUUUAUAUGUCAAGAAAAUGACGGUAGCAUAUGAAUAAGCACCGGCUAACUCCGUGCCAGCAGCCGCGGUAAUACGGAGGGUGCAAGCGUUACCCGGAACCACUGGGCGUAAAGGACGCGUAGGCGGGUUGGAAAGUCAGGUGUGAAAUCCUACAGCUUAACUGUAGAACUGCACUUGAAACUUCUAAUCUAGAGUAUGGGAGGGGGAGAUGGAAUUAGUGGUGUAGGGGUAAAAUCCGUAGAUAUCACUAGGAAUACCUAAAGCGAAGGCGAUCUCCUGGAACAUUACUGACGCUAAGGCGUGAAAGCGUGGGGAGCAAACAGGAUUAGAUACCCCAGUAGUC
rnacentral:rRNA from 1 species